CACUCAGCUUAGCGGAAAUUACGGACAAUUUGUCGAGGAUUUCUGAUGAAGAAGAAAAGCGCGUGAAGCCAUACUGAUCAACCACUCAAUGGUUGCCGACACGAGUGAAAAAAAAAAAUAGUACCUCUACAAGUAUUAAAUAACUUCCUAUAACUGUCCACCUUCACCCUCCAUAGCAAGGCAGACAUACAUAACCUUUCUUCACCUCCGAGAACCUUUCUUCAUCUCC
rnacentral:lncRNA from 1 species